CUCACAGCAACAAACUGGGGAUUCUGUCUUAAACAGAAAUAUGAUUUAUCCAUUAGAAUCUUUCCCCAACCCAGUGACACUUUGCUUGACCCAUUGUUCUUGGAGCUAAAGGACUUGAGGUCACUCUGAGAAGGUGUUGAAUCAUAAGAUUUGGUCCAGACUUGAAUAUAUUUUGAAUAAAAGUAAUGAGGGAGAAAAUAACUAUCUAUUUUUAGUUUCCAAAUUUUUCCUCAACUCCCAUCUGGAUAUAGGAGAAAGUCAAACAUUACAAUGUAUAACUACAUUAUAGUUUUAGGGUUAAUAUGUUUUAUGAUAAAAGUAAUCUCAAUUAAGGUCUGCUUGAACUGGGUCCCUUUCAUGAAAGUCUCUCAGUGGUAGAUAGACAGAAUGAGAUUUACAUGCAGACGUUAUCUGAAAUUCCCCUCUUUUAAGGGCAGCAUGGUUCAAAAGGGACUAGUAACUCAUGCUUUUAUUCAGUAAGGAAAAUAUCGCAGAAAUAAAGGAUAAAAUAGUUUCCUUGUAAUUUUUAAUUCAUCUAAAAUCAUGUGAUUCUAGUGACUUUAGUUCAUAAGACUCUUGAAAGAGGACAGAGAACCAAAUAAUAUAGUCUUUAUAGACUUCAUUUGGAAAUUAGGUAUUAUUUACCUUAAAAAUGAUUGAGAAUGUGAAUCUAGGAUUCUGCUAAGAUUACAGCUAACAAAAGGCACAAAGUAAAGUAAAAAGGGAUUGGUAACUGAUAAGCAAAUGAUAGAUGAUUGAGUGGAUAGAUACAUGAAUGGAUUAAUGAAUAGAUAGAAAAGCAGAUAGAUGGAUAAUACAGAUGAAUGAAUUAAUAGAGACACAAAUGGAUAGACAAGGAGAUGACAGAUAAUAGAAAGAUAUUCAUAGAUCAAUACAUGGUUAGUAAAUGAGUAGCGGGAUGCACAUGGAUGAAUAGAUGACUUGGAAGCAGAAUAAAUAGUUGAUAUAUAAAUGAAUAUUGGUAGAUGAAUGAAUAGAUGCUAGAGAUUGAUGAAUGCAAGGGUGAAUUUGGAAUGAAAUUGCAGAUAGAUGCAAGGGUAUGACAAUAUUAUGAUUGUACCCAACUGGAAUGGAAUACCAAUGAAGAUAAUGACAUUUCUUUUCAUGGAACUAUUUUAAAUAGUUUAACUGUUUUAGGAACGUAUGGACUGGUGGCAGAAAAUUAGUCAGUCUCGAAGAGCCCUGAAGUUUCAUAAUAAGUGUCUCAAUGAUAUAAAAAAAAUACAUGAGUGUGCCAUGAUUAGGCCACUUCUGAAUCCUCCCUAGUGCCCCAUUCUGGCCCAUUUGGCCUCUUUAGAACACCAUGCAAAUGGAGGAGAAAAGUGACUUCACUGGGCAGCCUUUAUGCAUCCUUGGUGAUACACAAAAGUCAUCCCUUUUUGCCUCUUCUUAACUCUGAUAUUCACAUGUACCUUCAUCAGUAGACCUACUCGGGAAGGCCUGGUGCUAUAAUUAAUCCAUGUCACAGGCAGAUGUAAGAUUGGCAGAAUUUAUGAGUGGGUUUGAGCUACUGUGAUGAGUAGGGGCACCUCAGCCCGUGUGAUAUAAAUUCCUCUGCUAAUUGGAUUGCUAGAGCUAAUCAGAAGCCAGAAAAGGAAUAAAAAAAUCAGUGUUCCUGCUGCCGCUGCUGCUGCUGGCUGAUAAAGCAGACAGCUCUUUUCAGGACAGGAGGGCGGGGGGAGCUGGAAUUGAAUCCUCAUGCGGAGGUCUCACUCUAGAUAGCUAUCUCAAAGGCGACACAGCCCUUCUGUCGCCAGGCCAGGAGGAGACAGAUAGGGCAAUGGGAGAAAGGGUGAUGUGAGCCCAGAGAGAUUGUAUUACCAAAUUGCAAAAACGGAGUGAAUGGGGAGAGAUGAAAGGAGCCGAGACCAAGACUGGGAGCGGGGACCACCAUCCAAUGGCCUGAGAGAGCUGGAAGGCUUUUCUGAAAUGAGGUACCACUCCCCGGGACACAGGUGCAUGCCCAGCAUCACUGUGGGAUAUGACUUCAGGAAUCUGAGGCCUCAUCCCCAAAGCCAAGAGGCGCUUGCAGGAGAAAGCCAUCUAUAUCUUGUCGUUUAGCUUCACACACUCUUGCGUUCACUUUCCUGAAGACGAGAGAACCGAGGGGACAAUGCAAAUCCCAUUCAAUACUAGGGCAAGUGCAAUUCAGGGAGCUUAGCUGAACUGCUCAAGAUGUAGGGCAAGUGAGGGAAAAAGACCACGUUUAAAACCUCUCACCUGCUGGAAAACCAUCAGCGCAUAGCAGCUGAGAGGGAACGCUCUAUCUGUGCUCACUCUUUCUACAUUUUGGAAGCAGCGAGGGGGUGAUAAGGCAAGUUCGUGUUCAUUGUCCUGCAUACCUUUUCCUCCAGGGAUCAAUAGUUCGUUCCAGCUGAGAGCGUGAAAUGUGUCUAACAGGGACACAGGUUAGAUCCUGGUGGUCCUUAUCUCUACUUUGCUUGUCUAAGUCUACGCCACUUCUCCAAGAAGCAAAUGUAUCCCUAAUAUUGGGUUUCACCACGCCGAGUGCCCUUCAGUUCUCGUUAAAUUCCAUUCUUUGUCUCCUGUAUUCUUUUCUCUCUGUGAUUACCACUUCUUUGCAUAUUUCUUCUGGAGCUCUCUACAUAGGCUCCAAAGCCCUGCCUUGGAGGUAAAUCCUUAGCCUCGAUGAGUAGGCAGCAAGCCCCUCUUGCACACAACAAAGACUUCUAUUUUUUUUUCUAUCUUUUGGGCGACACGAUAAAAAAUAACCCUGUAUUUAUGCAAAUUGCAAAGUAGCGUGUGAUAAUGAAAACAAAACAGUGCUGGCCCGCAGCCAAGACAUGGCGCUGACGGGAGCUCCCCGACCAUUUGGCUCUUGAUUCUUCGGGGAAAGCAGCUGUAGAGAAAUGAGAAUACAGGACCCCCUCCUCACACUCGCACACCCUGGUUCGCACGCAUUCCGGUACCCGUCACCUCGGAGCCAGCGAGACCUGGGAUCCAAAUGCGGUUCUGCCUCCUCCGGCCGUGGAGCACUGCAGUGUCGUCCUCCACGAGCCUCCCUGCCCCUGCUCCUGAUUCCCUUUCAGGAAUUUACAAACAUUUUCCCCAGAUCAAUAUCCGUAUUGAUUAUUCAUUGUGAGUGAGUCGUGUGUCUUUGGUGAUCCAGCUUGCAGAGGUAGCAGGCAAAGGCUGCUGCGGGGGAAAAAAAUAACAGAAGGCGAGAGGGACCCAGCUCUUGCUGGGUCUGCGGCUGUCGGCAACACAGAAGGGAAGAGAAAAAGAGAAAAGCACCUCAAAACCAAGGAAUGGACACGGGUGGAAGAGAAAGAGGGAGCAAUAGCAAGAAAAAAGGAAUCGAUGACUGGACAUCUGGUCCCAGGGAAUCUCGAUGGCUUGGAGGAAACCCCCAUCUUGGGUCUGCUGUUACGUGCAGGACGCAAUGGACUUUGCUCUGGGAGUGCAAAGUGACUCACAGUUUUGGUAUCUCCUACGUAAGAGCUUUGGGGGGAUUCCUUGGCUUGCUGACAGGCAAGGAAGACAGCGGCAGCAGUGAGGUAAAACACGAUUACUUCCAACUGCCUUGCGGAGGAGGCGCAGUCGUGCGGUGUGACUUGGACAGCUUGCUGCUCUCUGAUGGCACGCGGAGGGAGAAUAAUUAAAAAGGCCAGCAUCACUUACUAACACUCUUCAUCUCAAGUGAGUAAGAAAAAAAAGAUAGAAAUCCCCAGAAGAGAGAGAUCCUGCCUGUAGUUUGGAAGAAGCCACGCGGUACCUGAGAUAACUUCAACAGCAAAGGGCACUUCAGCAAAUGGUGAAGACAGCAAGAAGGCUCCUCUUCUCACACAAUGACAUCUCACAAUCGUGCAGGGCUUUCCAAUUUCCACGGUGCUCUUCACACAUAUUACCCUGUUUAAUUCUCACUACAACCAGUGAUAUCGGCGAGACAGAUAGUCUUUAGCUAACUUUACAGAUGAGGGUACUCAGGCUCACAGAGAGAGGACUUGCCUAAGGUUGAAAGAUAAUAAGAGACAGCUGCAGGUCUUCUGGGUCUUAAUCUGGUGCCAUUUUAGUAUUUUUCAUAGGUUCUUAUAAAAAACAUCCUCUUUAGAACCCGUGACUUAAAGGUGCCUUGAUUCUUAAAAAAUAAAAUUCUUUAGAGAUAGGGUCUUGCUGUGUUGUCCACGCUGGAGUGGUCACAGCUCACUGCAGCCUUAUUCUCCUGGGAUCAAGUAAUCCUCUCACCUCAGCCUCUUAAGUAGCUGGGACUACAGGUGCACACCACUAUGCCCAGCUAAUUUUUUUUAAAAGAUGGGGUUUUGCCAUGUUGUCUACCCUGGACUGAGACUCCUGCCCUCAAGCAAAUCCUCCUCCAAAUUGCUGGAAUUAUGGGUGUGAGCCACCAAAUGCAGCCUUUUUUUUUUUUUUUUUUUUUUUGGAGAGAACACGGUCUUGCUUUGUAGCUUGAGCUAGUAUUGAACUCCUGGCCUCAAGCUAUCUUCCUGCCUCAGCCUCCUAAAGUGCUGGGAUUACAGGCAUGAGCCACUAUGCCCACCCGCUUCCUUGAUUCUUGAUCCAUGCUCAUCCCCGCCUCACUUCUUCACCAUGAGGUUUUUUUUCUCAUAGCCUAUGUUAUUUGUAGUUAUGUGCACUUUGAAAAUACUUCCUGUAUCCUGCCAGCGAGGAAGAACCACAGCUAAUUUCCACUGGCAAAGGCAGAAGCCAUCCUUAACUUCCCAUUUUCCUCUAUUUGUUCCUCCUUUCCUUGAAAGUCAAGUUUACCCAUGAGCUGGUCUACAUUUGUACUAUUUUUACUUCUUCACUCCGCUUUGCAUCUCUACCCAGGGCUAUCUGCUUUCAUUCCUACUUUCCCAUUAAAACUGCUCUAAGUCAUUAACAACCAAUUCCACUGUGCCUUCCUCUCUGAAUCAUUGUAUUCAGUGACCACUCCCUCUCGCAAGACGUCUCCUCUGUCAUACCUGGCAUCAUUCUAUUCCUUCUUCAUUUCUGGUUACCUCCUCUCUAGCUUCAUGUCAGACUUAUCUUCCUUUAUUAAUGCCUUAAAUAUUAGUGUUUCUGAAGAGGGUUUCUGUGGCCACCUUCUAUUCUUAACUGUAAACACUUUGUUUUGUGUAAUGUAAAGCCUUGGCUUCAAUGAUCAUCUAUAGGCUGAUCAUCAAUUAUCAUCUCCAUCCCAAACCACUCUCCUGAAUUCAACCCAGGAUCUCUGGCUCCCUGCUGUUACCUCCUUGGGAUGGUCCACGAGCCCUUCAAUUCAGGGCACCCCAAAUCAUCCCCAAACCUGCCUCCCUUCACCCUCUUCUUUUUCUCCCCCAGCUGCUCUUCAAAUUCUCUCAUUUCUUUCCCUAUUUCUAUUUUCUCUUUUUUAUUGUAUUCCUAUCGCUCUUCUCUUAUUUUCCUAGUGGCUUUUCCAAAGGCCUAACUGUUCUCAUCAUUCUCAGAUAUGCCUUGCCCACAAUGCCUUCUCUGUACUAUGUCUAAUUGACCUACAGAAAGUGCAAAUGUGAUUAUCUUGCUCGCCUUUGUGAGAUCCUUCUGAGGAUCCCACCUUCUUACAUGGCCUUCCAGGCUGUUCAUGACCUGUGUGCUGCCUCUCCCUCGCCUGCUCUCUUCUAACUCGUCCAUUGCCCAUGCUCUGCUUCUAGGUCAUAAAAUGCCCCAUAACUCUUUCAUGCCUCUAGGAUUCCAUAUGAGGUUCCUGCUUCCUGGAACGUUCACCUCGGCUUCCUUCAUUUGACCAACUCCUCCUCCCCUUUCAAGACUGUUCCAGCAAGAAGCAUUUCUCCCCCGACCGAAACCUCCCAUGCUGGGUUACGUGCUACUGCAAGACCCUAUUCCUGCUUCCCUCUCCCACAGCAUGACUCCACUUUCACAAUGACCAAGUUUUCCCAUUUGACCAUGAGACACAUGGAGGCAGAGACCGUGCCCUUCAUCCCUGUCUUCCCAGCACCCAGCACAGAUCCCAAAAUAAACUGGGUGCUUAAUAAAUUAAUAUUACUAUUUUUAUUCCAAGUAUCAUAAAUAGUAUUUUUCCAGCUGUAAGAUUACAGGCCUCCAAAAUAAUCAAGCUGAGGGAAAUACAGCGACCGUUUCCCAUAGAGAAAAAAGGAUUUCCUAUUGGGCAAUUCUCACCUACAUCACUUUUUUGACUUCUUUCAGGCGAGAGACAAGCAGUGGGGUGGUCUUUAGGUGUUUGCUGAUGUGGUAGAAACUUUGGAGUUAAUUAGAAGCUCUGGCUAAGGCCGAACUUCCUUUGCAGAGUUCCUGGGAGGAAACACUAAAUUAACAGUUCAAGGUUACUAUUAGAAAAAUGGCCUGUUUCCCUAUGUUAUGCCUCAGAGAGUUUGUUCUUCUCUCUGCCAUUUCUAAGAUGUUUCCAUUUUCCUUUUUACCUGGGUAGGUUUGCCACCCUAAGCCCAGUCAUUCCAACACAGGUGAAAGCUCUUGAGGUCAGGGACUGAUUCUUCGCCUAUCUUCCAGCAGCGGUAGAUUCUGGGGCACUCAAUUAGUACCUGGUGGAGUUGAAUAGUGAGAAAAUCUGCUCAUCACAGAAGAAGGAACGGGGAUGAUUUCCUAAGUUCCCAUUUUCCACAAAGCAGAAAAUGGCAUGAGAUCAGUAGUACCAGACCUCCCUGGCAGUGCUAGAAAUAUCUCAAGAUACUAUGAGCAAUUUCUAAAUUUGGAAAUGCACUGAUUCUUGUUAUUUGCAGUAGUUAUGCUCUGUAAAGUUGCCACAGACACUGAGUUAGUGAAUACCGAACCAUCGCUCCUAGGGGAAAUAGAGAAUUAGGUUCCUGCAAGCCUCUGGUCACAAUGUUUUCAUCAAUGAAUCAAUACAGAGCCUCGUUUUAUGUGUGUUCCUGUUGAAGAUUUAAGAACCUUAUUUUGUGUGUGUGUGUGUGUGUGUGUGUGUGUGUAUAUCUAUACAUAUAGUUACUUAACAUUGAACUCAUGGCCAAUAACACUAUAAUGCAUACCUGAAUGAAGCUUAAUUUACACAUGUGUUUUCUUUGUAAGGGACACCACAGCCUUCUUGUGCUUAGGACCACCAGACGGUACUUUUGCAUCAUGCUUGCAGGGUAUUUUCUUUUCUUUUUUUUUUUGAGACAGUCUUGCUCUGUCACCCAGGCUGGAGUGCAUGGGUGCCAUUUUGGCUCACUGCAACCUCCACCUCCUGGGUUCAAGUGAUUCUCCAGCCUCAGCCUCCCGAGUAGCUGGGAUUACAGGCACAUGCCACCAUGCCUGGAUCAUUUUUGUAUUUUUAGUAGAGACAGGGUUUCCCCAUGUUCGCCAGUCUGAUCUCGAACUCCUGACCUCAAGUGAUCUGCCCACCUCGGCCUCUCAAAGUCCUGGGAUUACAGGUGUGAGCCACUGUGCCCAGCGUUGCAGGGUAUUUUAAAUGACAAAAUCACCAACUAAGAGCACAAAAUGUCAACAACAUGGCAUUAUGAAAAGAACACUUGUUUAUAGUAUGAGAGAUAAAACAGGAAGCAGACCCUUAUUUGACCUCAGCUGGGAACACACACAUUGGGCGACUUGAUGUUUUCACCUCCCUGCAUGUGUCUGUGAAUAAUGAUGAAAGUGCUGCAAGUAUUGAUUUUGAAGUUACAACUAAAUUUCAAUGAGUAGGUGAAUUUGCAAAUACGGAAUCUGUGAAUAAUGAGGUAAUACAUACUAUCAGGAUAUACUAGUGAAAGAGUAGAGUUUUGCUUAUUUCCAAAUAGAGAAAAGGAUCAUCAAACUCACAGGGCAUUUCUGACUUUGAAGUCCCUUCUUUAAAUUGUACAAAACAUCUACUUUCUGGCAAAGUUCAUCUGUGCUUUCUUAGAAGUUUUCAUAUAAAUAAUUGGCACUCACCAGAAGUUGUCUAACUGUUGGGGAUGGGGUGGUGCAUUUUUCUCAAAGAAAGAAAACUGGUUUGCUGCCAGGAGAGGCAAAGACUAGGCAAUUGAUGAGACCCCACUGGAAGCUGAAGGACCUCCCGCUGUUUAUGAUUUAAAGUCGGCCUUGGCGAAAUGACAGAUGACUCACGUUAGGCACCUGUGCCCAUAUACAGAGGAUUAUACAUGAUAGUCUGAAAAGUAUUCUUUUGAGCUAAAUCUUGCCCUUUUUGAGUUAUACCAUCAUGACAUUUCAUAUGGAAAGCAGCUGCUUAGAAACUCAUUUUUGCUUUUUGCUUAUUGAGUCCCAUCUUGUUGCAAAGAAUGGAUACAGAAUUCUAAAACGCAAUGCUACCCUUUUCACACUAACCAAAGGCACAGAGGUACAUGUGUUUUAGAUGUCAGGAAAGGGGGUCACUCAGGCAUGCAGAGUGGACUGAGAGGAGAAGUGUAGUGAGAUUCAGAAACUAAGAGUAAUAAAAGGAGGGUUGGGGGCCGGGCGCGGUGGCUCAUGCCUGUAAUCCCAGCACUUUUGGAUGCCCAGGCGGGUGGAUCACCUGAGGUCAGGAGUUCAAGACCAGCCUGACCAACAUGGAGAAACCCCGUCUCUACUAAAAACACAAAAUAAGCUGGACAUGGUGGCACAUGCCUAUAAUCCCAGCUACUUGGGAGGCUGAGGCAGGAGAAUCGCUUGAACCCAGGAGGCGGAGGUUGCGGUGAAGCAAGAUCGUGCCAUUGCACUCUAGCUGGGGCAAUAAGAGCAAAACUCCGUCUCAAAAAAAAAAAAAAAAAAAAAAAAAGGAGUGUUGGGCACUUCUUACUACGUCUUAUUAAAAGUCUAUUUGGAGUUAGUUCCAUCAGGAUCAGAAUCUCUGCUCUCUUAUUAGUAUUGUGAUCCUAAAACGUUGAGUGACCCCUUUGAGAACUGCUCUCUCUUCUGUGAAAUGGGACCCUAAUACCAACCUCUUGGAAUCACUGUGAGGCUUAAAUGAGAUAACAAUGUCAAGUGCUGGGCUCUAAGUCCAGCAGAAAGUUGGUAAUCAUUGCUUUUGCUAGCAUCUUCUGGGUUCCUAACUAGCAAUCUGACUUUUUGGGCAUAUUCAUGGAGAUACGGAAGACUGGAGUUGAAGAGACCUGCUCUGGGUCAACUUCCUUACUUUAUAGAGGAGAAAGUAGGCUGAGUGGGGUCCAACCAGCACAAGUAUCACAAAGGUAGUCAGGGCAGAAUAAGAAGGAGAACCUAGCUCCCUGAAGCCCAGUUCACAAUUAUACAGUAGGGUCCUGGUGCCUAGAUUUCCACUCCAGAUCCUCCUUCUACAACUAUGAACUGUCUGCCACCCCCACACCCACCCCAUUAGCCUGGUAACUACUGCUCCAUGGGUUAGUGUCUUCUUUGGCAGAAAGACUUGGUGCUACAUCAGCCAAGUUAGAAUUUUUUAGAGCAGGAACCACUGAGUGUGAGUUUUUCGUGUCUCUUGACUAUACAUAAAAAUAGCUAUGAACAGAUAAUACUCACAGCAUAUUAAUGUAAGACAAAGCAAAACGGAUCACAGAAGCUACAGAAGGAAUGCUCCUUUUAAAAGAGAUCAAUUAUUUCUUCAGUUCUCUGUAGCAAUUUGCAAGAUGCUCCCUUGGAAAAGCCCACAGGGAAAUGCUGCUGGAUAUAUAAACCCUAAAGCUUAUAACUGAUCAUGCAAUAACGAGACAAGAAAGCUGUGCUGGACAAACUGGAUGAGGCUGGUUAAUUUCCAACAAGCCUGUCUUAACGAGCGGAGUACAGGCUUAACACUGGCCAUUUCAAGGUGCCAGCAACCUUGCCAUCAGUGUGGAGGUGUGGGGUAGAGGGUAAGAUAGCACAGUCCUGGGGAAGCCAUUGCAGCAACUGGGCCGUGCUAUGGAAUAAUGAAUCACGAGGCAUUUGGGCAAGAAGUUAUAACCAGAAGGACGUGGCAAUAGCAAGACAAAUCACAAUGGACUUAGUGGGUCCUGACAGUGAAAAGGAGGUCAGAGGCUGGAGUGUGUGGUUAAAUGAGUAGGGUCUACCACUGUGCAGUUCAGCCAGGAGAGCUGAGUGGUCCAGACAGCUACAGAAGCACCAAGAUUGGAGCUAGUGGCACAGCUCAGGCUGGCUCACCUCUGCUCAGCUAAGUUGGGUUAUAUAAGCAGGUAUCAACAUUUUGAAGUGGUUAUAUAGGCCUGGUGGGAUGGGUGUCCCUUCGUCCACUUCAUCACAUAAGAGAUAAAUCUUUGCUAUAAAUUGCUCAUGCUUCAGCAAAGAACAAUAUUUCUUAGUGGGUAUUGGAAGGUCUGGAGGCAACAGGCAAAUUCUAUUUCUCCAUGGCUGUGUCCCACUCACUCUCUAUUCUUCACCCAUUUUUGUCCUCAUUGUACUCAUAGCCAAUCAAACUGAGGAUCCACAAAGGCUGAUAUCAGAUGUAACUUCAUCAGAAUAUCCUCCUUGUGAAAGAUCUGUACCUAUAUUUAAUCUGCCAAGGUAAUAGGUUUAAGUGAAACACAGCUGACAUAUCCAACCCACUAAGCUAUUAUAUUUGCAUUUUAUAUUGAACAUCCCUGUAAUAUUCUCGUUGCUAGAUGGAACUGACAUUUCCAUAUGACGGUAAAGGCUAAAUUGUGAAUUGCUUUCAUCGGGGUUUUGCUUCAGUGAUUUCACCACGCUAUAGACAUAGACAAAAAAUCACAACAAAUACACAUAAGUAUCCAACACGUUUUGUGUGUGUGUGUGUGUGUGUGUAUAGUCUGUUCAGUGGCUUAAUUUGGACUUACGCAACAGAUCACCCACCCAGAAUCUAAUUAUUCAGCAACCAUGUUACUUAUUUGGAAUUGAUAAUAAUAAUAAAUGUUUUCUAAGAAGCUGGAGAAGCUGUCACUGAAGUGACAUCAUGGAGGUUCAGAGAUGGUAGAGAAUGCCGGUAGAGAACGCCUCAAGUGCUUGGUCUCAGUUGGAUGUGAGGUCUGUUUUAAGAAUGGUACACUGAUGGCCAGGAGCCCUUGGGGAUCAUGCACCAUGCUAGGCAGCCCUCCUUUCAAAGAAAGGCUUGUGAAAUCAGGACUUGGGAUCUUAGAUCUUUUUUAGUGUGGGAUUUGCAGGAAAGCAAGUUUGGCCUUUGCAAGGAUGGGAAGUGGCAGCACUGGUCCAUCGGAGGAGGGUUUUUGGGAAUAUUUUUGAGUGGCAGAUGAAGGAUUCUAGAAGAGUAUUCAUCCUGAGGAGAGGGUCAGACACACAGGCUUGACUUAAGAAGGAUGACACAGUAAUCAAAGGGGUGGGCGGAUUUGGGGUACAGGACGCCUUCCACUGUGAAGAAGACAGAUUAUCCUUCUCUCCUCCAUCCUCCAAGCCACAUCCCAGCACACAGGCUGAAUCCCAGUGACAAGUGAAAGAUUCGAGAAUGAUUUUCACACAAAGCCUCUUCGAGGGACAGGACAUGGGGGCCAGAAGGGCUUUGGGAACAAGGCAACUGAUUAUGGCAUAACAGUCAAGGAAAGAGAUUCUUUCCCAGCUAUGGAGGAGUUUCCAGGCUGUGGAAAUGCCAAAGGUGAAAAUGACAAAGUGGAAUUGAGGGAAUUUCAACCCGAAGCAGACACCUGUGCUCAUGGCCAUACCAGCCCCAUGUCCAGCGGGAUCCCUUAGUGACUGGAACCUGUGAUAUCACCAACUAUGGCAGCAGGGAGAUGUUGGCACACAGUGAUGCCACCAGCUUGAGGAAGGACAGGAGAGACUGCCUUUGCACGGACAGCAACCAGGAGAUCUCCCAGCAGCAGGGACAGAGCAGGAUGGGGCACCCUCACAAAGACUGAUACAUGGCAGAGGACUUAGAAACCAGCAGGGGUUGAGAAGACUGAUGUGAACACAUGUGACAUCCCCUUUCCCAGUUCACUCCCCAGAGUACCUGGGGGAGAUUUGGAGCAGAAGUGGGGGCUUACAAUUGCAGGUGGAGGUCAAAGCCACCUAUAUUAACAGAGCCCAGCUCUAUAUAGCUUUGACCAGAGAAACUGGUGAUCUCAGCAACCUAUUCUUGGAAACUCUGUGAAGGGAGGAUGGGUGGUCAAACUCCACUUGUAUGGACAAUGAUAACUAAUUUAGAACCUUGCGCUUACAUUUCCCCCAAAACUCAUAGCAGUCACCACACUGCCCUCUCAUUGUUGAUUUACUCAUCUGUCUCCUCUUGCAAGAUGUAAGCUCCUUGAGGAAAGGAACUAUAUUUUAUUCAUCUUCACAUCCCCACUUUUCUGUUUUUUUGUUUGUUUCUUUGUUUAAUACAGUCUCGCUCUGUCACCCAGGCUGGAGUUCAGUUGUGUGAUCAUAGCUCACUGUAGCCUCAAACUCUUGGGCUCUAGCAAUCCUCCUGCCUUGGCCUCCCAAAGCACUGGGAUUACAGGCAUGAACCACUGCAUGGGGCCCACAUUCCAAAUUUUCAACACUGUGUCAGGCAAACAGCAGACACUCAAUCCAGGCAUGUUGGAUGAAUAAAUAGAUGAUGCCUUAAAAAAAUAGAUGAUGAAUAAGUCAUAAUAAUGAGAUGGCCUCAAAUGAGAGGUAGGUUAUGUAAAUAAGCAAAGAUGGUGUCCAAGGAUGUUGUUCCAAAGACGUAGGGCUCCUUCUGGGGAGGCUGUCAUGGGGAGUUAGGAGGAAUUUGUAUGGUCCAGAGCUGGCCCCUACCUGGGCCCUUCCAGAACCCCAUGGAAACUCAUCAGAUUGUAGCCCCUAGUACUGAUCUAGGUGUUCUUGAGGUGAGCAGAGAGGGUAGCUGGGCCACACCUCAACUACUUUAAACUCUUAGUAAUUGAAGAAGUGAAAGCGUAAGAGUAAGGGUCCUAGAAGGUGAGAAGAGAUGACAGAUGAACUUGUCCUGCCUCUUUAGGUCUGGGAACCUUAAGAGGGUUGAGUCCUUGGGCGUGGACCAUGAUAGGCUAUACUUCAGUGAGAUGUGGGCCUUGGGCUGCUGUGGGAUGUGCACAGAGAUUAUUCCACAGGACAGAGGCCAUUCCCCUGUUUCCUUCUCUUAGGAUGUAGUAAGGAAGCUCCACUCCUGUGAGCAGUCCCAGGGUCCCAGCCAAGGUUUCUUGGUUAUGCUUCCAACAAGGGUGGCACUUUGGCCAGAGGAGCUUCACUAGAUGACAGGGCAGUUACAUGUCUGUUGAUUCCAAGCCGCAGAGUUGUGACCUUUUAGGAGAGAGCCGAGGCAUUAUGAGCCAGGAGUGAACCAUCCUGAACACCAAGCAUGGCUGGCAGCAUCAG
rnacentral:lncRNA from 1 species